rnacentral:lncRNA from 1 species
AAAAUUUGUCAAAUAUUCAUGGUUGUGGAGUGGUUCUGAAGGUCAGUGAUAUGUCCCUUCAUUUUGAGGUUUCUCAAGUCUCUUUUCAUUCGAGAUCUUCAGAUAAAGGCUCUUCCUCAAUCUCUCUAUCAUCUUCCAAUUCCGGACUGUGAUUUGCUGUUGUCACCAAGGACAUUGGACAGUCUUCAUCCUCUGCAAUCACUGGUUCUUCCUUGACGUGGAUAGAAUGUAUGUGAGGCUGAGGAGAGCAGCCCGGGCUGC